AGAGUUUGAUCUUGGCUCAGAACGAACGCUGGCGGCAUGGAUUAGGCAUGCAAGUUGAACGAACUCCUUCGGGAGUGAGUAGCGGAAGGGUGAGGAACGCGUGAGUAAUCUGCCCCCCAGUUGGGAAUAACAGUUGGAAACGACUGCUAAUACCGAAUGUGGCUUAAGCUUCGCCUGGAGCUUUGGCUAAAGAUUUAUCGCUGGGGGAUGAGCUCGCGUCCCAUUAGGUAGUUGGUGAGGUAACGGCUCACCAAGCCGACGAUGGGUAGCUGGUCUGAGAGGAUGGUCAGCCACACUGGGACUGAGACACUGCCCAGACUCCUACGGGAGGCUGCAGUCGAGAAUCUUGGGCAAUGCGCGAAAGCGUGACCCAGCAAUGCCGCGUGUAUGAUGAAGGCCCUCGGGUCGUAAAGUACUGUCUCCCGUGACGAAAUUUGACGGUAGCGGGGAAGGAAGCCACGGCUAACUACGUGCCAGCAGCCGCGGUAAUACGUAGGUGGCGAGCGUUGUUCGGAUUUAUUGGGCGUAAAGGGUCUGUAGGAGGUUUGUUAAAUACGGGGUGAAAUCCCGAAGCUCAACUUCGGAAUUGCCUUGUAGACUGACGAACUAGAGUACCGGAGAGGUAAGCGGAAUACCAGGUGUAGCGGUGGAAUGCGUAGAUAUCUGGUAGAACACCAAAAGCGAAGGCAGCUUGCUGGACGGAAACUGACUCUGAAAGACGAAAGCAUGGGGAGCAAACAGGAUUAGAUACCCUGGUAGUCCAUGCCGUAAACGUUGUCAACUUGAUGUGGGGGGAUUUAGUCCUCUCCGUAUCGAAGCUAACGCGAUAAGUUGACCGCCUGGGGGACUACGGCCGCAAGGCUAAAACUCAAAGGAAUUGACGGGGGCCCGCACAAGCGGUGGAGCAUGUGGCUUAAUUCGAGGCAACGCGAAGAACCUUACCUGGUCUUGAAAUAUAUCGGAUCGCCUGUGAAAGCAGGUUUCCCUUCGGGGCUGAUAUACAGGUGCUGCAUGGCUGUCGUCAGCUCGUGCCGUGAGGUGUUCGGUUAAGUCCGGCAACGAGCGCAACCCGUAUCGUCAGUUGCCAGCAGGUAAAGCUGGGGACUCUGGCGAGACUGCCUGUGUUAAGCAGGAGGAAGGCGCGGAUGACGUCAAGUCAGUAUGGCCCUUACGACCAGGGCUGCACACGUGCUACAAUGGGGGGUACAAUGGGAUGCGAUGUCGCGAGGCGGAGCAAAUCCACAAAACCUCUCUUAGUUCAGAUUGCAGUCUGCAAC
rnacentral:rRNA from 1 species